UGUGCUGAUGAUGCUGGGAUUGGGAAGUGCGGUCAGAAGCGAUAACUGACGACUUUGUCGCCGAAG